GUCACUUCCGGUAGCAGAAGACAGGUGCUUGUUUUCAUUUAGUAAAGUAAAUGCUUUAACUGUCAAUGCGUGUUCAUGGUAUGAAAUGAAGAACCAUCUUCACAAGAAAAAGUUGCCUAGCAACCACGUAUGAAUACACUUGGACUCAGUUUGAUGUUAAAAAUGGGCUGCAUUUGUGGCAAAGAAUCUAUCAACAUUGACAACAGAAACUUCUAUGUUCGGUCAAGACUUGGAGAAGGAGGGUUCAGUUAUGUUGAUCUGCUAGAAGAAGCGCGGACCCACAAGCUUUUUGCCCUCAAGAGGAUCACAUGUCACUCCAAGGAUGAAGAACGGGUGGCGAUGCAAGAGGUUGAAAUCAUGCGGACAUUUCACCACAACAACAUCGUGCCCCUGGAAACCCACUGCAUGAAGCCAGUCGGACAUUACUCCAAGACACUUGACAUCACCAGUGAAGUGUUCAUCGUUAUGCCGUAUUAUAAGAGAGGUGGUAUACAAGACAAGAUUGAAUACCUAGCAGCCAAGUCGGAGAAGAUGGCGGAGGAGAAGCUGUGGAGAAUGUUCUUGGGCAUUUGUCAUGGUGUCCGAGCCUUGCAUUCCUUCAACCCUCCAUAUGCACACAGAGACCUGAAGCCUGCCAACAUCAUGAUAGCAGAUGAUGAGACCCCGGUGUUGAUGGAUCUGGGCUCGGCAGCCAAAGCUAGGGUUGAUGUGAGGAAUCUCCGAGAAGCCCGGGCACUGCAGGACACUGCAGAAGAGAGGUGCUCAAUGCUGUACAGGGCCCCAGAACUGUUCAACGUAGACUCUAAUGCUAAUAUUGAUGAAAGAACAGACAUUUGGAGCCUGGGUUGUGUGCUGUAUGCUAUGGCAUUCCUGGAAUCUCCCUUCGAGAAGGCCUACCAAAGAGGGGACAGUAUUGCACUGGCUUCCCUCGGACGUAAUGUCAAGUUUCCUGAAAACUCACGUUUCAGCAAGUCAGUGGAAGAUAUGAUCUUCUAUCUGAUGACCCCGAAUGUGAUGGAACGACCUUUUAUCGACCAAGUUAUUUCCCGGGUGGACAGUGUCACACAAGCAAGUGAAAACCGAGUCUGAUUGUCUCCCUUUGUCAUGUGAUCAAAAUACUUGGCUAUUCAUAUCAUGUGACUCAUCCUAGUCUCCUGUGUCAUGUGACCUGACCAUGAUGCAUCAUGUGAUAUGCCCUAGACAUCCUCCCACUAAAGAUGAUCUUUGUUGAGAGAACAGAUACACUAUCCUGCCUGCUUCAAGUGAUUGUCUCUGAUGCUCUGGGUAUCUCUCCUGUGAGAGGUCAUGUUAGCUAAUCCUUCUAAUGUAAUAUGGAACUUAACCAGCUUACUGAUCAGUUAAAAGCAUUAGAAAAUAACUCAAACUCGCUGUUGAACAUGUGUCAAGAUGUAUGAGAGGCAGUUUGGUUAACUUAAGGGUGACAUUGGUUGGUCCAUUGGUUAGCUUAUUAUGUCAGAGACCUGGGUUCUAUUCCCAUGCAAGUGCAUUUACAUCUCUUUAGAGAAAAACAAAACAAAAUCUGAUAGCACACAAUUCAGUUAACAAUUUUUAUGUUUGUUGUUAUGUUGAAGACGUGUCAUGAAAAUGAUUUUGUAAAAAAAGAUUUCAAUUUUUUCAAAUAAUUUCUGUGCAAGGUAAGGAAGCAUGCCCACAUCUUGAUGUAUUCAACAUAUGUAGACAUGUGUUUUCCACUUGGGUUCAAUGUGUGAAGCUGAUUUCUGGUGUCCCCUGUUGUGAUGUUGCUGGAGUAUCAUUGACAGCAGAGUAUACCCCACUGACUCACUCACUCGCUCAGCUGUUCAGCUGUUUGAGAGUGAGUGAGUGAGUGAGUGCUUUUCUCUAGCAAAAUGAACAAUCAGUGUCCAUAUGAGCUGCAUAUUUGCAUAAAAUAUAUUACAAUUGUCCACCGGUAAUUACGUUUAGUAACUCAUGUUCUGGUAUGCAUGAAAAAAUCAAAAGCUUUUAGUGGAACAGUGUGUGUUAUUACCCAAAACAACCUUUUCAGCUUGCAUAUGCAACCUCAACCGUAGUAAAUAAUUUUAAAUAUGCCAUUAAUUAAAACAUGAAUCGUUGUAGUGAGCUUAAAUGAAAUGGGCAUCACAGGGAAGUUACAGGUUACCUAAGUAACACUUACCAGAGCGUUUUAUUAAUGUCUAUGUGUUGGUUUAUAAAGAACAAAUCAAGUGGAUCCAAAGAAGUAAAAAUCUAUUGAAUACCCAAAGAAAACUGUGGACCCAUUUGUGACUGAUAGUGUGUGUUAUUGGUAUUCAAUGGCCAUGCACACACCAUCACCGACCACACAACAUCACUAGCCACACAACAUCACCAACCACACAUCACCAAUCACACAACAUCACUAGCCACACAACAUCACCGACCACACACCAUCACCGA
rnacentral:misc_RNA from 1 species